rnacentral:rRNA from 1 species
GACGAACGCUGGCGGCGUGCUUAACACAUGCAAGUCGAACGGAAAGGCCCUGCUUUUGUGGGUUUCUCGAGUGGCGAACGGGUGAGUAACACGUGAGUAACCUGCCCUUGACUUUGUGAUAACUUCAGGAAACUGGGGCUAAUACCGGAUAUGAGCUCCUGCUGCAUGGUGGGGGUUGGAAAGUUUCGGCGGUUGGGGAUGGACUCGCGGCUUAUCAGCUUGUUGGUGGGGUAGUGGCUUACCAAGGCUUUGACGGGUAGCCGGCCUGAGAGGGUGACCGGCCACAUGGGGACUGAGAUACGGCCCAGAAUCCUACGGGAGGCAGCAGUGGGGAAUAUUGCACAAUGGGCGGAAGCCUGAUGAAGCAACGCCGCGUGCGGGAUGACGGCCUUCGGGUUGUAAACCGCUUUCGCCUGUGACGAAGAGUGAGUGACGGUAAUGGGUAAAGAAGCACCGGCUAACUACGUG